rnacentral:misc_RNA from 1 species
GAUGAAGAACGCAGCGAAAUGCGAUAAGUAAUGUGAAUUGCAGAAUUCAGUGAAUCAUCGAAUCUUUGAACGCACAUUGCGCCCGCCAGUAUUCUGGCGGGCAUGCCUGUCUGAGCGUCAUUUCAACCCUCAUGCCCCUAGGGCGUGGUGUUGGGGAUCGGCCAAAGCCCGCGAGGGACGGCCGGCCCCUAAAUCUAGUGGCGGACCCGUCGUGGCCUCCUCUGCGAAGUAGUGAUAUUCCGCAUCGGAGAGCGAUGAGCCCCUGCCGUUAAACCCCCAACUUUCCAAGGUUGACCUCAGAUCAGGUAGGAAUACCCGCUGAACUUAAGCAUAUCAAUAAAGCGGAGGA